rnacentral:rRNA from 1 species
GCUUGUCUCAAAGAUUAAGCCAUGCAUGUCUAAGUAUAAACUGUUUAUACAAGUGAAACUGCGAAUGGCUCAUUAAAUCAGUUAUAAUUUAUUUGAUGGUUCUUGCUACUUGGAUAACCGUAGUAAUUCUAGAGCUAAUACAUGCGUCAAACCCCGACUUCUGGGAGGGGUGUAUUUAUUAGAUGGAAACCAAUGCGGGGCAACCCGGUAUAUGGUGAUUCAUAAUAACUUUCGGAUCGAUCUUCGGAUCGAUGCAUCAUUCAAGUUUCUGCCCUAUCAGCUUUGGAUGGUAGGGUAUUGGCCUACCAUGGCUUUAACGGGUAACGGAGAAUUAGGGUUCGAUUCCGGAGAGGGAGCCUGAGAAAUGGCUACCACAUCCAAGGAAGGCAGCAGG